AGAAUCAACGCUGGCGGCGUGCCUAACACAUGCAAGUCGAACGAGAAAGGGUAGCAAUACCUGAGUAAAGUGGCGCACGGGUGAGUAACACGUGAAUGAUCUACCUCCGAGUGGGGAAUAACUGAGAGAAAUCUUAGCUAAUACCGCAUAACACUUACGAGUCAAAGCAGCAAUGCGCUUGGAGAGGAGUUCGCGGCCGAUUAGUUAGUUGGCGGGGUAAUGGCCCACCAAGACGAUGAUCGGUA
rnacentral:rRNA from 1 species